UCCAACAUCUCUGCAAACACAGAGAAUUUUGCUCUCCUUUCAUCCUCGAUGAAAAGAUCUGUGGGAAUGACGUGAGAGCAGGGCCGGGAGGAGCCCUCGGAAUUAACUGGAGCUUCUCCCGGGGGUCAGCUCCGAAUCCCAGCCUGAAAAAACUCCUGUCCCAAAUACAGAUCUGGGCUCUGCUUAUUCAGCAUCUUAAACACCAGAAAGGAUUUUUUGGCUGAGCUGCCUCUCAGUGCUGGGAUACAGGACAUGGAUAAUUCUGUGUUUCCCAAGGAAAGGCUGCCCCACACUUCCAGAAGCAUCCUGCAAUAUCCUGAUUUGGAAUUGGAUCCCACAAG